rnacentral:rRNA from 1 species
UUGUUGGUAAGGUAAAAGCUUACCAAGGCUUCGAUCAGUAGCUGGUCUGAGAGGACGACCAGCCACACUGGGACUGAGACACGGCCCAGACUCCUACGGGAGGCAGCAGUGGGGAAUUUUGGACAAUGGGGGCAACCCUGAUCCAGCCAUGCCGCGUGAGUGAAGAAGGCCUUCGGGUUGUAAAGCUCUUUCAGCCGGAACGAAACGGUUACGGUUAACACCCGUGACUACUGACGGUACCGGAAGAAGAAGCACCGGCUAACUACGUGCCAGCAGCCGCGGUAAUACGUAGGGUGCGAGCGUUAAUCGGAAUUACUGGGCGUAAAGCGUGCGCAGGUGGUUUUGUAAGUCAGAUGUGAAAGCCCCGGGCUCAACCUGGGAACUGCGUUUGAAACUACAAGACUAGAGUGUGGCAGAGGGGGGUGGAAUUCCGCGUGUAGCAGUGAAAUGCGUAGAGAUGUGGAGGAACACCGAUGGCGAAGGCAGCCCCCUGGGUCAACACUGACGCUCAGGCACGAAAGCAUGGGGAGCAAACAGGAUUAGAUACCCUGGUAGUCCAUGCCCUAAACGAUGUCAACUAGUUGUCGGGCCUUUACGGGCUUGGUAACGUAGCUAACGCGUGAAGUYGACCGCCUGGGGAGUACGAUCGCAAGAUUAAAACUCAAAUGAAUUGACGGGGACCCGCACAAGCGGUGGAUUAUGUGGAUUAAUUCGAUGCAACGCGAAAAACCUUACCUACCCUUGACAUGUAUCGAAGCCCGCAGAAAAGCGGGGGUGCCCGAAAGGGAACGAUAACACAGGUGCUGCAUGGCUGUCGUCAGCUCGUGUCGUGAGAUGUUGGGUUAAGUCCCGCAACGAGCGCAACCCUUGUCAUUAAUUGCCAUCAUUUAGUUGGGCACUUUAAUGAGACUGCCGG